UUCUCUUUAUUUUAUAGACCCUUUUUUCCUUUAUUCCCCUUUUGUUGACUACCUUCAUAAUUUGGUAAUCUUCAAUAGUGCUAAGUUUUGAUUCCUUUUCAUUUAUCACUUCUGUAUCUGCUGUAGUUUUUCUAUUAAUAUUUAUUAUAUUAAUAUGAGUCUUAACAUAAAACAUCUUAUAGUUAAAAUAGAGUUUUAAGAUCAUGAAAACUGAACUUUAGUUACAUACAAAGACUCUAGACUUUUAUUGUUUCAAUCACAAUUUCUAUUGUUGAUGUCACAGUUUAUAUAUUAAAUUGUGCCUUAACAAUUGUAGCUCUCAUUAUUUUUGGCUGUUUUGAAUGUUAGCUUUCAUACUAGAUAUAUGCCUGAUUUACAGAACACCUUAUAGUUGGGAGUAUUCUGAAUUUCACUAGGUAAAUACUUCUACUGGCUGACACCUCCAGCUGUUAAAUAAUUAGGUUGAAAGAAGCACAAAGAUAGGUUACUAGGAGUGAAAAUUGGAUGGCUCUUCCAAAAUGUGAUGCUGAAAUCUCACCCAGUUAUCAUUAUGCCUGACAUCAGAGCUUCUUCCCAGCAUGGCAUGUGACAGGUGUACCAGGAAACCGAAAUUUCUCUACAUUUAACUGAAGGAAUAAGAGCAAUCUACAAAAUUAAAAAUUCAGAUAACUAAAGGAAAUGUUACCACCAAGUCAGUGGGUACAGCUGAUACUGCUAUAGAGGAGGUGAGUGUACACUGAUUUUUGUUGAGUCAUCAAAACAUGAUAUAUAUUUACUAAGGAAAUUGUACUACCUCCUAAGUGAAGAAGGGGGCCAAUUAAAAUUACUCUGUCUAUUGGCAAAUGGUAGAACCUCCCAAACCCUUCCUUAUCUAAGGAUAAAUAAAAGAUUUAAAAUUUGAUAUAUAUAAAAAUGUAAUAUAUCAAAUUAAGGGAAGAGGAAUGUUGUGGUAAAUAGAGGAAAUGUUUAUGGGAAAAAAUUCAUUACCAGGAAAUGAAUAAUAAUUCUGAAACUAUUUUAUUGAAAACAGAUAAGAUUACAAGGUUUCUUUGAAAUCUUGCAUGAAAUAAAGAGGCGACAGGCUGAGAUUUAAAGAUUGUGUGUCCAAAUGAGUAAAAAUUACAGAAAUCUGAAAACACUACAGCAAAGUUAAAUUCAGCACUGGAGGCAUUAAAUACCAAAAUUGGCACUGGAGGAAAAUCAAAUCAGGGAUUGAGAGAAUCAAUCUGAUGAGCUCUCCAAAAACAUAAAGGAAAAAAAUGAGUGAACCAAGUAGCACACAAAAUUUUGCAUAUAGCAUGAUCCUGCAUAUGGGUAAUACAUUUACUGAGAAUAAACGGAAAAAAUAUUAAAAAAAUGUUAACAGUGGCUAUCUCCGGAUUGCACAAUCAUAAGAGAGUUUCACUCUUAUUCUUUAUAUUCUCAAUAUAAAGAGUUUUGACAGCUAAUAAGCACUACUUUUAUAGUCAGAAGAAAAAAAUAAACAUAAAAGCUCAACCUGACUUAUUUAAAUUUCUAGGAAUAUCCAUUGAUGUAUUAUUUUUUUAUAGUAACCAUUGCCUACUGUCUAGUCAGUCUUAGAUUGGAGUCUUUGUAAAGCUGCUACCUUUAAAUUAUGAGAAUGAAACUUAAUUAACCUAAGUACUAUCAAUGGCUUUUUCUAUAUCUCCUUUUCAACUCUGUACAUUUUAAAAUUCCAUAAAGCUGGAAUUUAGAAUUAAUUCUAGCUUGUAAUAUAAUGGCAUGCUGGCUGAUUCUUGAUUUACACCAUUCAAGGUGUUUUAUAGGCUUCUUUAAUAACUCAAGAGGAAAUGAAAUAGAAUACUCUGAAAAAAUUAGCCCUAAGGUCGAAUAUUUUUAUUAUUCUUUUAAAUUAUUUUAAGCUCUUUUAAAAGUCCUCCUUUAUGUUUUUGUUUAGUUUAUCCUUAUAAAAAUUUAGGAUGAGUUCAUUUAAUUCAAUUUUUCAUGAAGAUAAAAAAAUCUUCUUUCUACAAUAUACUAUAUUACAUACAGCAAGCUUGCAUGGCGAAGUGGAGGGAAGACCAGCUUUGAGGUUAAAUAAAUUGCAGUCAAAUUUCAGCUCCACUAUUUACUGACUAUCUCACUGGGCAAGGAGAUAAUCAUUCUGAGUGCAGUUUCCAUAUCAUUAAAGAAAAAGAAUCCUAACUGCUAAUAUAUUUACUCCCCAAAUCCUGUGGAGUGUUUUCAUGUGCCAGACAAUGUUCUAUUUACAGCGAUUUUAGGAUUUAAUGAAUUAUUUUCUAUAAAGCAUAUUUACCAAUUUUAAAAGGCCUUUCUUAUUCUCCAUUAGCCUCUCUAUAAAGGUGGCUUUUCAAUGUGAAUGAUAAGUUAAUUUUUUCUUUCUUUUUCCUAACAAUUAAAUUACUUUAUAUUAAGAUAUCAAACAAAGUCCUGUUGUUUUGUCGAUUGUUAAUGGCUGGCACAGGAUAGAGUUAGCAGUCCUGCAACUAAUAUAUUUUCAGAAACAGCAGAAAGCAGUAUUUUCAGAAACAUGCUCUGAUUAAAAAAAUUUCAGAGAACAAAAUUGUUUUUCAGAGUCAAAGGGAAUAAUUACCAAUAUUGUGUAGCAUAUUUCAUUGUAAUUGAUCUUUGCAUGAAUUAACAUAGCUAGCAUAUUUGAGCGCAGUCAAAUGUGGAGAACAUUUAUUAAGCACCAACUGCAAGAUGGAGGGUGUUAGGUACUAUAUUUAUGACAGAGUGUGUGUGUGUGUGUGUAUGCAUGUGUGUAUGCAAAUGUAUAUAAUUAUUCAAUUCUUGCUAUAAUCCUUCAAGGUAAGGAUUAUAUUUCUAUGGCUGAAGACACUGAGGCAGGUACCUUGUCAAAGUCAAAUAAUAUAUUGUGGUGGUAUCAAGUGUUAGAAUUUUGUAGUCAAAUAUCCCAGGCUCCAAGUCCUAUAGUAUUUCUGCCAGAAAGAAUAAAAUUAUCCUAUUUAAAGAUAAAUUUUUAAGCAAAGACUUCUCAGUAUAUACAUGAUCAUGCAUUAUUUAGGAAGCUAUAAUAUGACAGAAAGUACAAAAAUAUUCUACAGCACAGAUGAAAAGAUAUACUAAUGACAGUUUUUCAUAUCCCUCUUCAAAUAGAGUUUUACAAGUAAAAAUACAUCUCAAAUAGCCCCAAAUCAUGUGAGAAUCAAAUAUUAACAAAAGAUUUAUCAUCCUUAUAGAAUGAAGUGAAGAUCCAGUCAUAGAACCAACUUAUCUCUAUAAAAUACUGAAUGAGAUAGAACUGAAAAUUUUAUUUGACAUAGGUUACAGUUCAGUAAAUCUAUGAGAAAAUUUUAAACUAUAUUUUGAAAAAAGAAUUGACGCUAUAGAGCAUGGUGGGGAAAAGUGUGGGCUAUGGAUAUAGACUCCUAGUUUCAAAUCCGAGUUCUGCUCCUUGGGGACCUCAAGUAAGUUACUUCACAGACAUGUACUUUAGUUUUCUCAUUUGUAAAAUGAAGGUAAUGGUACUGCUUCACAGGGUUGUUGAGAGGAUUAAAACAAAAUACAUAGCAACACGUAUAGUAAGAUUUCAAUAAAUGUUAAAAGUUAGGGUAUACGUAUGUUUGUAGAUAAGCAAAAACAUAAUAUUUGAAAAGUAAACCAUGAUUGAUUCAAAAGUCACACAUCAUUAUAAAUGACAUGGUAAUUUAAAUCUAAAUGUCUAAACAUUUUAAAUUUAACAAUGCCAUUUUCCAUGUUGUUUCAUUCACCUAAGAAAAUUCCUCUGACUUAGAUGCAGAAAUGAGAAAUGAUUAAAUGAUUUAUUCAAGGAGGACAAGAAUAGUGCUAGACUAAAUAUAUUGCCAUAGCUACAAAAUAUUGAUUUCUCAAAUAUAUACUGAGAGCUUAAAAUGUACCAUCCAUUGUGCUAAGGCAUGGAGGUGCAACAGGGAGAGUUUUAAAAUUAACAAGGCUUUAGGAGUUCAUAAACUGAUACUGAAGACAAGAAUGCAAAAAUCUUUGGUGUUUUUCAUUAAUGCUAUACUUUUACAUCUUCAGAGAAAACAGUGACAUACAAAUGUUCUUUAAAGUAUGUUGAAGAUUCUCCUGACCCCCUAAGUUACGUCUUCUUCUGCCAGUGCCUAAAAUACCUUAAUCAUUUGAAGUGAAGUCCACUGUUACACAAUAAACAUUCUCUGAGGGCAUAACACAUUAAACCAUUAAAUUCUUAGCUCAAAAUUAGUUUAUUUAAUUGAUUGGUUAGUCUCUGAGAAUCCUGAAGAGAGAGAAACUAGAAUAAAUACCCUCAACAUUCUAGCCUCAGAUGAGUCUGUAUAAGCAUGCCUGCUACUCAACCUAAGCACUGAUGUUCUAUAACCACCAUGGCAGCCCUGCUGUACUUUCUCAUGACAUGUAUAGAUUUCUACAUUGUAGUAAAUGUAUAGGUUUUUUUUUUUAGCAUAGUUCAUGUCCUGUAUCUCAAUCAAGCUUUGUUACUCCUGCUAUUACUUCUAGUUCAUGGAAUCAUCUGGCCCUCUACUUUAUCUGACACCUCCUGUCUUUACUUCUCUUUGGCCAUGUAGGUUAUAUAUCCAUCAUCAUGUGACUCUGUCUCUUGCCUAUAUCUUCAGUUGUUUUUCUGCUUCACCUGCCUGAUAGAUCCCCUCCCGCCCAGAUUGCAACAGUGGUCUACUUAAUCUGCAAUUGAAUUUGGCCUGUUGAGAACUGACAAAAAAUUAAAUAAAUAAAUAAAUAAAUAAAUAAAUAGAAAACAGUCACAAACAUCCUCAGGUUGGUAACAAAUUUUGCAGCACAGGUUCUCCAGAAGCAAAGAGAAGCAAGAUGGUCAUUAGAGAGGAGAUUUUCUGUAGCUAAAGCAGACUCUGACCUAGCUGACACUGAAGGCCACGUGCUGAACAUACUCCCUCCUGGACAGUGAUCCUUCCUUGAAGUGGACUCUAUGUGGUAUACUCUAUAUCUACUAUAUCACAUCUUCUGCCAAAGCACUUCAAUAAAACU